rnacentral:rRNA from 1 species
UACGAGGGGUGCAAGCGUUGCUCGGAAUUAUUGGGCGUAAAGCGCACGUAGGCGGAUUGGUCAGUUAGGGGUGAAAUCCUGGAGCUCAACUCCAGAACUGCCUUUAAUACUGCCAGUCUCGAGUCCGGAAGAGGUAAGUGGAACUCCUAGUGUAGAGGUGGAAUUCGUAGAUAUUAGGAAGAACACCAGUGGCGAAGGCGGCUUACUGGUCCGGUACUGACGCUGAGGUGCGAAAGCGUGGGGAGCAAACAGG